AAAGAGUUCAUUCUUUUCAGGAUGAUGACUAGCGUAAAGUGUUGGGAUUAAGCGUUUUUUAGUAUUUUUUCUGAAGGAUGUGUUUCAUUUAAUGGAUGAAAAGCUCGAAUUUCUGAUUCUCGGAUUUUUAUGAAAUGGGAAAUGAGUAAAUGGAAAUUAAAAAUUUCCUGGGUUUAUCAUUUGUAUAGUUGUGGCUGAAAAUGGGUAAAAGAAUUGUUUUUUUUUGGGGGGGGGGUUAUGACUUGCAAAAGUCAAUUUGAUAGAGGUUUAUAUGUGUAAUCUAGAUAUAUCCAUGUUUGGCGUAAUUGGUAAAGUUGUUGUCACGUGACAUAGAGGUUACGGGUUCGAGCGGUAGAAACAACUUCUUAUAGUCCAUAGGACUCCACGCAUACAGAAACUUAGUGCACUCGGGUGUGUUUUGUCAAAGGAAUUUCAGUGCUUAGAAAAAAUCCUCUGUAUUAACACAUUCUGUAUGUAUUACACAAGUUUCGAUCCCUGACAACAUGCCCCUCACUACACUUCAAUAAGUAUCUUCCUUCAGUCUCCCAACACUUCAUAGUCUUACUGUAUCAGUGGUAUUAUUGAUCGAGCCUUGCAAUUCUUGCUCAUCACUUACAGAAUUCAAUAGAAAUUGGAACUUAUGAUUGCUUUAAGUCUUACUGUAUGAGUGGUAUUCUUGCUCAAGCCUUGCAAUUCUUGCUUAUCACUUACGGAAUUCAAUAGAAAUGGAAACUUAUGAUUGCUUUAAGCUCAAUUGCACGAUCAAAGUGUAGAAUGAACAUUUAACUUCUUAAAUUUCAUGAUAGGUACGUAGAAUUGAAAGAUAAUAAAUCUCAUAAAAUUGUGAGCAAUUCAUUAAGUGAAAACUUAAAAUAUAAAAAUCGAUAACGUCAUAAAAGAAGCAAUGGAAGGCUACAUUAGAAAUUUUACUAAAUAAAACAUGACAUGAGUAUGGUGUUUGUACAACUUCUAAGUCACACACAGGUCUAGGCCUUGACUAUACCCAAAAAUAUACAAAAUGUCACUUCAUAAGCAAAUAUGCCUCAAUGAUAAAUAGGGUUCUCCCAAACCAACAGAAUGAGUGGAGUGUCUAGCAAACAUCAGUGCCAUCCUGAGAAUCCAAACAUGCAUCACAAAAAGAUGCAGUUCUUGGACAAAAGAGAAGUGAAUAAGUGAGUAAAUGUGAAAUAGUACUUACAAUCUUACAUGAUGAGGUGAAAUAUUUGGUAGCUUUGACCAGCUUGCUAAAUGAAUUGCUAUGGUUAGCAGUCUUUGAUGGAUAAGAUAUUCAUCUUUCAAAAGUUGUUAUAUUUUAGAUGUAAGAUGUAAGGGAUGGCAUGUUGCACAUACUGCGAAUAGGCAGUAUUAACUUCUAAAGUUCUCAACUCUCAUGUAAGUUUGUCUAGUAUGUUUUCCUUUUAUAAGAAGCUUGAAUUCAGUACAAGUGCUAUCAUAAUAUCUUCUACAUCGUCUAGAUUCAAGGGACAGAUUAAGAGUAAACCUUGAUUUUCUCAAAAUAUUGUUCUUUUCCUUCAUCAACAAUAUGGCACUACAGUUCUGGAUUUGAUUGUCAAACAAUGUAUAGUGAUCUAUGAUGUAAAUCAUUGUUCCAUAACUAUUAGCAACUUCAAUUUUAUCUCCAUUAGGAAAUAGUAAUCAAUACACUGCUGUUCGUUUGGUGCUUUUUCCUAAUUAUUUUGGGUGUAGUUCAAUUGUCCCAAUUCCUACAAUUGGUUGUCUUUGUUGUUCUGAAACCCCCGUUUCCUGGCGAAAAAAAGAUGUAGGGGAGAAUGUUAAUAAAUGAGAGCCUUGACGCUAGUUUUUUACCGAUGUUGGUAUCUUUGAAGACAAAUCCGUUGUGCACAAUGGUUACCUACAUAGAAUGAGUAUACAGAUAAACAAUAUUCUGACAAAAGAGAAGCAUAUCAAAUUUCUUAUUAUGUAUUUACAAUAGCAGGAAGAAAAUUAGCAUUAUACCCUGGUCUUUUACUAUCCAUUACCUCCUUAAAAUGUUUCUUAAGGAUGGCUACUGUGUUAUUUCCGUCUAGACGAGAUGUAACCAGAGAACAUUCUAGGAAAUAAUUUGUUCGGAGGAUACCUGAAAUGCAAUCAAUGCAUUUGAUAUGAUCUGUUACAAAUAUAAGCAUGUGAGGUUAACAAAGAUGAAAACAUGAUUUUGCUGGUUAUGAUUUACCUGUGUAAUUAAUGAUAUUUUGCAACUGAUUUUUACACUGUUAUUAGUACAAAAAUGUUGACGUGCACCAUUAUGUUCUGUCUCUCUCUCUCUAUAAUUUUAACAUGAAAGUGCAGUCUGGCGAUCUGAAAGCCAUGACUCUCUGGUCCAUACUUGCUUCAUCACCUAGUGUCAUAUCUAAUAUGUACUUGUAAACCUCAAACAUUGUCCCGAUCCCAAAUCCCUUCUUUUUUAGUUGACUUGCCAUUUCUAAGGGAUAAGUUGAUCUUUUAACACAAGGGGUUGCUCCUCGUUAAGGAAAUUGCUAGUGAAAUAUCAGCUAUGCUUCCCUUUUAUGGAAUGUUAAGUAGGGAUGAGAAGUGGAAUAGAACUUUAAAAGGCCUAAAUGGAAGUGAUAUUAACUCUUAGGGAGAAUAAGGACCUCUUCAUGUUUUCUAAUCCAGCUGGCAUUCUUGACUACCGGAUCCUAAUGAUAUUGUGUGCUGCGCUGUUGUGAGGAUGCACUAGUGGAUUGGUGGUUGUAAAAUUGUGAUAUUGGCAAGGGGCUGUGGACAUUUUUCGGAGGGACAAGAAAAUUACUGCCAGUGUGCUUGGGUUUGCCACUUCACUUUGGGUGCUUUUUUAGUUGCAUCAGAACCAUUUGCUUACGUUUGUUUGCCAUAUACUGAUCCUUGCAUUGGCAGUCCUUUUCCUUUGGUCCGAUGCAUCCACCUUCAUCAACAAAUCUCCACCCCAAAUUCCAGAUGUCAUUCUGCCUGAAGACAUUGUCCUGGGUGUUGCUGCUGCAGUCAGGACUGAAAUAGACAAAGGUCUUGAAAAUAAUUUCUGUUGCUGCUGUACUCAGGACUUCUCUGCUCACAUAUGGCAAAAACUCCUCAUAUGCUACAGAUAAGAGCAGUAGAGUUGAAGUUUACAGGAUGAUACUUGCAGCCACUAUUUACCGUCUGUGGAGGGAAAGGAACAUGAGAGUCUUCCAGCAUCAACAAAAAACCAGUAGAGCUACUCACUAAGCUGAUUAUCCGACAAGUUCAUGCUAGAUGUAGUAGACAUCUUAGGUGGCUAGUUGAUUAGAGACUCGUAAUUUCUACCCUACUUAGAAGGACAGGAAUAUUCCGUGUACGUGCCGUACUCUAUGCAGUAGUUACCUCUGAUGCUGUGAGGGUUCACAAAGAACAUAUAGAUGUGGUACAAGGUGAUGAAGCAAGAAUGGAUAUCAGAGUCAUGGCUUUCAGCUCGCUUAACUGAUCGUCCACCCUUUAAUGCUAAAAAAGCAUAGAGAGAACUUACCAAUGCACGUCAACAUCUUUGCAGCAAUGGCAGGUAAUAAUGCUAUUUAGAAACUUAUAUCAUCGCACAGUUCGUAUAGAAAACAAAAGAAAUCUAGAAGACCAGUUUUCUUCCUGCCAUUAUAAAUAAAUGAUGAACAAUUUGAUUUGCUUCUCUUUUGCAUAAUCAAAAUAUUGUUCAUCUGUAUACUUUUUUUUCUAUAUAAAUUUGUUGUUUUGUUCUUUAAUCUUAUACCAUUAGACAAUUUACCCAAUUAUUAAUACCCUCCCAAACAUCUUCUUUUGGAUUUGAAAGGAGAUUUUAGAGAGACAACCUAUCAUAGAGCAUAAACUGUUGAUAGUGCAGUAUGGCUUGAGUAAAAUAAAACCCCAAUCGUAGUGCUAUGUAUUGAUGUUAAAUUAUUAGUGGAGUGUUUCGUAUAAAACUAAGUAAUAGUAGAUAUUUAAAACUACUCUGAUUGGUCCAUAUUUGCCUUUUCUUAAAGUGUUAAACACCUUUUAGAAAUAAUUAUGAUGUCCGGACGAACUUGGAUAACUUUGUUCAAUGUCUAUUUUUAAGAAAGAUUAAAUCGUAUAAUAAUAUAAAAUAGUAAUAUAAUAAUAAUUAAAAAAAAUAAUUAUGAUGUCCGGAUGAACUUGGAUAACUCUGUUCAAUGUCCAUUUUUAAGAAAGAUUAAAUCAAAUAAUAAUAUAAAAUAGUAAUAAUAAUAAAUUUUUUUUAAAAAAAACGCAUGCUUAACCCAAUCUAAUUAUCCCAAAAAGAAUGGCAUUUUUUGCCAUAGAAAAAGAGACCAAGGAAGAGGCAUUGAUCGCAUGAACAUUGCUGCAGUUAAAACAAAUACUUCAGCCAUUUUAAUUUUUUUGAUUUAUUAUUAUUGUUAGCUCCUUAAAAAUGUUAUUUAUUUUGUUUAUUUUUACUACUUUUAAAUUUUAAUAAGUAUUAUGAUACUUUCAAUACUAUCGGCUUUUUCUUCUUUCUUUUACUUUUUUUAGACUCUCCAUCACCUGUCAAAAUUAGACAAACAGCAAUUGUAACCUGGAAAUUGUAUAUCAUACUCUUCCAUCUCAAUUCAUAUAACAUCUUUUUUU